rnacentral:lncRNA from 1 species
CAUAAAGAGUACACUAAGUGGAAAGUGCAUCCCUCUGAAGUUCGAGCUUCAGUUCUCUCCUGAAGAGAAAGGGAAGAAGAACGUCCAUAUCGACAUACUACAAGGGUCAGCAACCCUUGCAGAAAGAGAGUAUAUCAUUUCAAUAGAAGAUGAACCGGAUUAUGCAGUCGAUCCCCCAUAUUCACUGGGGGGAAUGCAGUAUGUUUCCAAUGAUCUUCUCGAGACCCUGGCAGAUGUAAUCCAUACACCAACGAAUUAAAGUCCCUUGGCUACCAGCUUGGCUUCUCUUCUUCAUCUAUGGAGAAAUACAACAACCCAGCAGACGUGUCCUUUGAUAGUGUCUCGAGGUCAGGCUUUGGUGAGAUGCUGCGUGACUGGAGAUGGAAGGUUCGACCUAGUGAGCAGGUAGAUGAACUUCAUCUGGCAUUAAAAAAUGCUGGGUUGGGCCACACAGCUGAGGUCAUCAUUCAUGGACUGAGUAUCACCUCAAGGAGGCGCUUUGCACAACUUAGAGAAGCAUGGGAGUCAAAGAAAUAGGCCAACACUUUCCUUGCAAUGAUUAUCCUCAUCCAACGACCAAGAAGAGAUUCACUUGAUUUAUACAUUAAGCUGAGAAGCCUACGUCUUCAGUAACAUAUAUUUUAAUUAGUCUGCAUGAUCCUCAGCCUGACCCUCGAAGUGCAUUUUUCUUCCCUAGCCAAUGCUGCUGGGAGUCAUGUAGCUAAGCUACAUAUGAGAAUUAUUUCUGUUUAACCUUGAUAGUAAAUUAAUAAAAAAAAAAAAAGAACAACAAGAGAAGCAGACUAGUGAGAGUUUGAAGGAAAUCAGACAGAAAAGGAGUAAGUUAUGAAUAUUUGACAGUUAUAUUCACUAAUUAUGGGCACUUCAAAGUGGUUACAAAAAAGGCUCUCAAAAUCCCCUCAUAUUUGAAAGUUGACUGAAGAAGCUUUUAAAAAUGUAGACUAAAUUGAGACUGCAUGCGACCUUCUGCAAAAUAAAUUGAGUCAAUUUUACGUCAUUUCGAUUGAAUAAAAAUCUUUAGAAUACAACUUUGUGGAUACACCCUCGAAUCAAACAGUCCCAAUACCAUAAGCAGUUUCUUUUCUAAAACAAUGGCAUGACCAGUACUUAUCUCUCUUCAGGAUGUAUCAAACUUGGUUCAGUUGUCUUAGUGGCUAUAAUAAUGUGUUCGUUGUGAAAGGUUUGUGUGGAAAGCGUUUCAGUUUUAUCGCCGCAAUAAUUAUAUGCAUGGCAUAACGACAACAGAAAUUGUUCUUCUUAUAUAAAUGUUGCAUGGCAAAUGUUUUAGUUAACUAGCUAAAACCAUCAUUUCAUGAAGCAACUGAUAACCCUAUUAAAUACAAGUAUUGCCCUUUUGUAAAAUUGUCUCGAUUCUAUUAAUACAAAUACGUUAUGCAUAAAGUAAUAACCGCAGUAAGUACGUGAUAU